rnacentral:rRNA from 1 species
AGAGUUUGAUCCUGGCUCAGAACGAACGCUGGCGGCAUGCCUAACACAUGCAAGUCGAACGAAGGCUUCGGCCUUAGUGGCGCACGGGUGAGUAACACGUGGGAACCUGCCUCUUGGUUCGGAAUAACUGCGGGAAACUGCAGCUAAUACCGGAUACGCCCUACGGGGGAAAGAUUUAUUGCCGAGAGAGGGGCCCGCGU